rnacentral:lncRNA from 1 species
AGGUCCUGAUCAGAUGUGCCCAUCACAUUUAAGACAUAUAUAUGAAUCAACCUAAUCUUUUUAUUUUCCAUUCAGACCCUGAAUAUCAAGAUCUGUUCGUUGUUCACGUUUGACCUUCGUCUGGGAAGGUGAAGAUGUUGAGAUAAUGGGAGAAUAUGAGUGCAAGAUGCUGGACUCCCUGAGGAAUGUGCUAACAUGCGAGGGCAAAAUAUUUUGCAAAAGCCCUGGGUUGAAGUUCAACACCCAGGACUGCAAAGAAAAGGAAAGGAAGAGAAAGAAAUCCCGCCAUCUGCAGCAGUGGAGUGGAGCGGAAGACCAUCAUGCUGUGAGAUAAACCAGCACAGAGAGACAAACCCUGCGUGUUCCCACUUUCCUGUGGAGUGGAAAGAAGUGGGUUUCGUAGAACUUGAG